rnacentral:tRNA from 1 species
GGUGGAAUUGGUAGACACGUUGGACUUAAAAUCCAAUGAGCAUCGCGCUCGUGCGGGUUCAAGUCCCGCC